GACGAACGCUGGCGGCGUGCCUAAUACAUGCAAGUUGAGCGCUGAAGGUUGGUACUUGUACCAACUGGAUGAGCAGCGAACGGGUGAGUAACGCGUGGGGAAUCUGCCUUUGAGCGGGGGACAACAUUUGGAAACGAAUGCUAAUACCGCAUAAAGACUUUAAACACAAGUUUUAAGUUUGAAAGAUGCAAUUGCAUCACUCAAAGAUGAUCCCGCGUUGUAUUAGCUAGUUGGUGAGGUAAAGGCUCACCAAGGCGAUGAUACAUAGCCGACCUGAGAGGGUGAUCGGCCACAUUGGGACUGAGACACGGCCCAAACUCCUACGGGAGGCAGAAGUAGGGAAUCUUCGGCAAUGGACGAAGGUCUGACCGAGCAACGCCGCGUGAGUGAAGAAGGUUUUCGGAUCGUAAAAAUCUGUUGGUAGAGAAGAACGUUGGUGAGAGUGGAAAGCUCAUCAAGUGACGGUAACUACCCAGAAAGGGACGGCUAACUACGUG
rnacentral:rRNA from 1 species